GUGUCAGCCGCCGCGGUAAAACCAGCACCUCAAGUGGUCAGGAUGAUUAUUGGGCCUAAAGCAUCCGUAGCCCGUUUUGUAAGUUUUCGGUUAAAUCCAUGCGCUUAACGUAUGGGCUGCCGGGAAUACUGCAUAACUAGGAAGUGGGAGAGGUAGACGGUACUCGGUAGGAAGGGGUAAAAUCCUUUGAUCUAUUGAUGACCACCUGUGGCGAAGGCGGUCUACCAGAACACGUUCGACGGUGAGGGAUGAAAGCUGGGGGAGCAAACCGGAUUAGAUACCCGGGUAGUCCCAGCUGUAAACUAUGCAAACUCAGUGAUGCAUUGGCUUAUGGCCAAUGCAGUGCUGCAGGGAAGCCGUUAAGUUUGCCGCCUGGGAAGUACGUACGCAAGUAUGAAACUUAAAGGAAUUGACGGGG
rnacentral:rRNA from 1 species